AUCACGUUAAAUGCAUUUAUGGUGAAAUUCAUUAUGAGGGGUGGUGGUCAACUUAAAAAGAAGCCAUUCAAAGCUAUACUAUGUAAUUCAAGUGGACUUCUCUGUAAGAACAUCAGACUCUUCAUAGAAGAUGAAGACUUGCCAUGAUCAAGAAUACCAGCUAUUUGCUGAAGUUCAUCUUUCAAAACGAACAGCAUGGAGUACAGUACUCAUCAGAUGCUGUGAACAGGUGUAGCCCAAAUGCAACAGAUUCAGACUUUGAUGCAGCAAUGGCAGAUCACCUGAAGCACACUGGGGUUGAUGGAUACUUGUUUUAUGGCUGUUUUAACAGUAAUACAAGACUGUUAGUAAAUAAUUUGGUAGUGCCAUAGCUCUGACUUUUAACCAUUAAUGGUGGAACACAUGAAUCACACUCCCGGAAGAGCCGGUGGUCGGGGACCAAGAAAAUGAGUAAACAUUUUGAAAAAAAUGGACUAAAGUAGUGUCAUAUGUUUUUGUAAUACUGUACUUUUGUCAUUUUCAUGUUUGAUUAAUGGCUGCUAAACAUCAAUGUUAAACUCCAUUGCUUUCGAGAUUCUACUAUUUUUAUUUUCUUGUUUGAAUAGUAGCUGUCAAACAAAUGGAAGACCAUUCAAAAAUGUGAUGUUCACUAUAAAAUAUGCUGUGCUAAAUUAAAACACUAAAUUUUGCCUAAAUCCACAAAUAAAGUGUUAUUGUUUGUGAUGUGCA